rnacentral:rRNA from 1 species
AUUGAACGCUGGCGGUAGGCCUAACACAUGCAAGUCGAACGGCAGCACGGUACGACUUUGCUCUUACCUGUCGCGUGUCGCGCACGUGUGUGGUAUCCAUCAGACUCUCUUUUGUCGUGGGAUAUCUCGUAGGAACGCUUACUCUUAUACCGUAUUCUCCCUACGCCUAAAAGCAGGGGCUCUUCGCCCCUUGCCCUCUUGUAUGCGCCGAUGUCGGAUUAGCUAGUUGGCGGGGUAAAGGCCCACCAAGGCGACGAUCCGUAGCUGGUCUGAGAGGAUGAUCAGCCACACUGGAACUGAGACACGGUCCAGACUCCUACGGGAGGCAGCAGUGGGGAAUAUUGGACAAUGGGCGCAAGCCUGAUGCAGCCAUGCCGCGUGGGUGAAGAAGGCCUUCGGGUUGUAAAGCACUUUUGGUGGGGAAGAAAAGAAGAAAGUUAAUACCUCGCCGUACUGACGGUACCCAAAGAAGAAGCACCGGCUAACUUCGUG